rnacentral:rRNA from 1 species
UACGAAGGGGGCUAGCGUUGCUCGGAAUCACUGGGCGUAAAGCGCACGUAGGCGGAUCUUUAAGUCAGGGGUGAAAUCCUGGAGCUCAACUCCAGAACUCCCUUUGAUACUGGGAUCUCGAGUCCGGAAGAGGUGAGUGGAACUGCGAGUGUAGAGGUGAAAUUCGUAGAUAUUCGCAAGAACACCAGUGGCGAAGGCGGCUCACUGGCCCGGUACUGACGCUGAGGUGCGAAAGCGUGGGGAGCAAACAGG